CGUUUGUUUUAACAGAAAAAGAACGGCGUAAACCAUAUACCUAUAAACUCCAAUACUCAUCUUAUCAUUACUAGUGUAAGUAGUAAAUUUUGAAGCCAAGAAAGAGAGAAAGCAAUAUUAAACAUAAUGUUAAUUUGGCAUAAGUCUAUUGCGUAGUGGAAAACUCCGUCGUUCAAGCUUUGGCCAAUUAGCGGUUAAUGAUGUACGCAAUGUUUUCAAUGUUAUGCUAGACCUAGUCAUAAUAAGCCCCCAUUUACAGGGUUCCUUGGUUAGACUUGAUGAUGACCCACUGUUGCCUCUGGAUAAAUUCCAUCCCGCAUUAUCAGUCGAGCUUCUAUUCGUGCAACACACUUCAAGCCUAAACUCACAUGUUGAGAAACAUUUAGAACUUCUAAAACUGGAGGUACAAAAGCCCCUAAAAUCCAUCUGGCACUUCAUAGAAGAACUGGCUCAUAUAGUAAAGAAAUCCUGGGAUCUAUCAACUGUACCACUAAAACCAUUUCCAGAGUACCAGCACAUACAAAAGAUAGCAAGUCAUAUCUACAAAAGGGAUGUUUCAACAGCCAAUGGAACCUUAAAUGUGACCCUAAUAAGGGAAAGUAUUUUUAUCCCAUUGUUGGCGAUCUGUGACCUAAUGUCCAGAUCGCCCUUAAUAAAUACAAAUCCAGUAUUGUUGGUGGCGCUAUUAAUUGUGAGAGCUUGCCUGGCCUCUGUGGAUGGUGUAUUGAAUUAUGUCAGUAGGGCUGAGGAUAGCGGUGAGAUUCUAAAGGAGGUUCAACAGAGUUUUAAAGAAGUUUUUGUCUCAUAGCAUUUUAAAAUAUGUUCGUGGUUUAAUAUCAGAAAUAAACGUCUUAUUAGUUUAAUA